rnacentral:tRNA from 1 species
AUGAAUUAUGAAGAAAUGACAAUUUUAUAAAAUUGUCAUUUCUUCAUCGGUGAUAGCCCCCACCGAUUUUAAA